rnacentral:tRNA from 1 species
GGUGGCUCAGCAGUAGAGUGCUUGCCUUGCAUGCAUGAGGCCCUAGGUUCAAUUCCUCAGCACCA